rnacentral:rRNA from 1 species
GACGAACGCUGGCGGCGUGCUUAACACAUGCAAGUCGAACGGAAAGGCCCUGCUUUUGUGGGGUGCUCGAGUGGCGAACGGGUGAGUAACACGUGAGUAACCUGCCCUUGACUUUGGGAUAACUUCAGGAAACUGGGGCUAAUACCGGAUAGGAGCUCCUGCUGCAUGGUGGGGGUUGGAAAGUUUCGGCGGUUGGGGAUGGACUCGCGGCUUAUCAGCUGGUUGGUGGGGUAGUGGCUUACCAAGGCUUUGACGGGUAGCCGGCCUGAGAGGGUGACCGGCCACAUUGGGACUGAGAUACGGCCCAGACUCCUACGGGAGGCAGCAGUGGGGAAUAUUGCACAAUGGGCGGAAGCCGGAUGCAGCAACGCCGCGUGCGGGAUGACGGCCUUCGGGUUGUAAACCGCUUUCGCCUGUGACGAAGCGUGAGUGACGGUAAUGGGUAAAGAAGCACCGGCUAACUACGU